rnacentral:rRNA from 1 species
CCUACGGGCGGCAGCAGUGGGGAAUAUUGGUCAAUGGGCGCAACCCUGACCCAGCAACGCCGCGUGCAGGAUGAAGGCUUUCGGGUUGUAAACUUCUUUUGUUAGGGAAGAGUACAAGACGGUACCUGACGUAUAAGCCACGCCUCACGACGUGCCAGCAGCCGCUGUAAUACGUAGGUGGCCAGUGUUUCGCGGAUUCACUGGGUGUAAAGGGCGUGUAGCCGGGUUGACAAGUCAGAUGUGAAAUCCUGCGGCUUAACCGCAGAACUGCAUUUGAAACUGUGGAUCUUGAGUACGGGGGAGGCAGGCGGAAUUCCUAGUGUAGCGGUGAAAUGCGUAGAUAUCAGGAGGAACACCAAUGGCGAAGGCGGUCUGCUGGACAGCAACUGACGGUGAGGCGCGAAAGCGUGGGGAGCAAACAGGAUUAGAUACCCUGGUAGUC